rnacentral:lncRNA from 1 species
GCUUGCUCUAUAGUAUCUGUAAGAUAAUGUAUUAGUUUUAAUAAUGCUCUUUUUAAAGGAUCUACCAGGACACUUGAAUUGUGUAGAGUCAAAAGGAUGAAGGAUCCAGUCAUAGCUACAGGAUAAGCUUAGCAAGAUUUAGCAGGCUUGAGCAGGAAAUAACAUUGUCUGCAUACUGUGGGAAACAGCUCUACAUCUCAGUGAAUACAGUGUAACAGCCAUCUGCUUGGCCAGCUGAGCUGAUGGCCUGUAGAGUAAAUCGCUCAAGUUGGAGAGUCAUAUCUAGAUGCCUGUGAGCUAUAACAGCUCAUAUCCUGUGUGGGACAAAUCUCAGUCUACCUUUCAGGUUACUGAGGAAAUGUACUUUGCAUGAAGAAGGCUGUACUAGUUCAUCUGGGUGUGAGCAGAAACAUGUCUUGUUGAUACUUCUGGAAUCCCUUACCACACUUCGAUUCUUGUGGCUACCCGACAACAUCCUCAAGACUAGCUAGUGAAUGGUUUCAUAUAGUUCUUGUCAGACAGGAGGACUGAUACUUCAUUUCUGCUCCUGGAUUUAAAAAAAACACUAAAAUGUAAUCUAAGCGCCUAGAAAGAAGACAAGAUCAACAAUAACAACAAUAAAAAUCACAAUACAAAAUGUUUCUAAACA